rnacentral:rRNA from 1 species
AUACGUAGGGGGCGAGCGUUAUCCGGAAUUAUUGGGCGUAAAGAGUACGUAGGCGGUUCUGUAAGCGUGAGGUGAGAGCCCGGGGCUUAACUCCGGGAAGCCUUUCGAACUGCAGGACUUGAGUGCUGGAGGGGAAAGUGGAAUUCCUAGUGUAGCGGUGAACUGCGUAGAUAUUAGGAGGAACACCAGUGGCGAAGGCGACUUUCUGGACAGUAACUGACGCUGAGGUACGAAAGCGUGGGGAGCAAACAGGAUUAGAUACCCUGGUAGUCCACGCUGUAAACGAUGAGCACUAGGUGUCGGGCUAGCAAUAGUUCGGUGCCGCAGUUAACGCAAUAAGUGCUCCGCCUGGGGAGUACGCACGCAAGUGUGAAACUCAAAGGAAUCGACGGGG